UGGUGGAGCGAUUUGUCUGGUUAAUUCCGAUAACGAACGAGACCUCAGCCUGCUAACUAGCUACGCGGAGGUUCCCCUUCGCGGCCAGCUUCUUAGAGGGACUAUGGCCGUUUAGGCCAUGGAAGUUUGAGGCAAUAAUA
rnacentral:rRNA from 1 species